rnacentral:rRNA from 1 species
UACGAGAGGCCCAAACGUUAUUCGGAAUUACUGGGCUUAAAGAGUUCGUAGGCGGCGCAGAAAGUAGGGUGUGAAAGCCCUCGGCUUAACCGAGGAAUUGCGCUCUAAACUACUGUGCUUGAGGAAGCUAGAGGUGAGCGGAACUGAUGGUGGAGCGGUGAAAUGCGUUGAUAUCAUCAGGAACACCGGAGGCGAAGGCGGCUCACUGGGGCUUUUCUGACGCUGAGGAACGAAAGCCAGGGUAGCGAACGGG